UACGGAGGGUGCAAGCGUUAUCCGGAUUCACUGGGUUUAAAGGGUGCGUAGGUGGGUCUGUAAGUCAGUGGUGAAAUCUCCGUGCUUAACAUGGAAACUGCCAUUGAUACUAUUUGUCUUGAAUACUUUGGAGGUAAGCGGAACAUGUCAUGUAGCGGUGAAAUGCUUAGAUAUGACAUAGAACACCAAUUGCGAAGGCAGCUUACUACACAGUAAUUGACACUGAGGCACGAAAGCGUGGGGAUCAAACAGG
rnacentral:rRNA from 1 species